rnacentral:rRNA from 1 species
UACGGAGGAUGCGAGCGUUAUCCGGAUUUAUUGGGUUUAAAGGGUGCGUAGGCGGAGUGUCAAGUCAGCGGUAAAAUUUCGGGGCUCAACCCCGUCGUGCCGUUGAAACUGACACCCUUGAGUGAGUGAGAAGUAAGCGGAAUGCGUGGUGUAGCGGUGAAAUGCAUAGAUAUCACGCAGAACGCCGAUUGCGAAGGCAGCUUACCAGACUGAGUCUGACGCUGAUGCACGAGAGCAUGGGUAGCGAACAGG